AAAAGCAGUUAUUUGUUAGGAGCUGCUGUUUUUAUAACCGUGUUCUCUAUAGUAAGACACGAACUCGUCUAUGAGGGUUGGCCACGCACCUUCAAAAUCAUAAUUAGAGCAAUUGGGAUCUGAUUUAACAAAUACACUAAAAUCCCAUAAUUCAUUCCACGUAUCCUUUGGCAGAGAUUUUUCGAUAAUAGGGGAAACUUUUAAAAAAGCAAUCCAAUCAUCCAGAAGAGGAAAAGUAUCUUUAAGAAGAAUCUGGAAAAAUUCAAUGGCAAUGGAAGUGCUUAAAGUCUUCUUUCCUUUAUCACAUGCAAGCGGGUAUGUGUAAAUAUAAAUGGCUUUUUGAAGGGAUGCAUCUGACCUCCAAACUUGCACUUUUUCUUUUAUGGCAAGUUUUAAUUGAUCAAGGCUAGUUGUUGAGAGAUUGAGAGCACCUUCAACAAAACUUUCUCGAUGGAAUUCUCCCAUUCGCGGGGACUUUAGGAAAUAAGAAACAAGUAGAGUUUCAGGAUCCUCGAGUGAAAUGUCUAGCGCCGUAAAUAAUUGCACCGAGCCAUCAAGUUCUAUCAAAUCUUUAUCCUCUUUAGAGGAAAAUUGACUGAAAACAUUGUUUAAUUGCUUUUCCGCCUCUUCUCUAGAUUUUUGCUGUAUCCAUUUCGUGUAGGCCACAUCAUAAUCAAAAUUAUACUUUUUAAGCCAGCUGAGAGCUGCCUUAGAAGAAGUUGAUGUGGCUUUAGAAAAUGCUCUAGUCAAAGAUACGGUAUCCGGUUUCAUAGGUUUUUGAUUGCUAUUGUAUAUACACUUAACUGGUAAAAGUAGCUGUAUAAGUUUUUGAGAAAUAAACAGACUGAAUUUAGCAAAAAUGUAAAAUUUGAGCACAACCGGUUGACCAGAUUUUCGAAAAAGGGAGACAAUAAUCAAUUUUAACACCGUCAAACAGAUUUGUAUCUUGAGAGAAAACACAAUCCACGGCUAACACAGAAAAUGAGUAUUAUACGGAACAAAAGAGUUGAGUUAGUAAUUUGGUUUUAUAUGCUUAAGCUGAGA